CCUACGGGGGGCAGCAGUGGGGAAUAUUGGACAAUGGGGGGAACCCUGAUCCAGCCAUGCCGCGUGUGUGAAGAAGGCCCUCGGGUUGGAAAGCACUUUCAGUGAGGAAGAACGCCUGGUGGUUAAUACCCAUCAGGAAAGACAUCACUCACAGAAGAAGCACCGGCUAACUCCGUGCCAGCAGCCGCGGUAAUACGGAGGGUGCGAGCGUUAAUCGGAAUUACUGGGCGUAAAGCGCGCGUAGGUGGCUUGAUAAGCCGGUUGUGAAAGCCCCGGGCUCAACCUGGGAACGGCAUCCGGAACUGUCAAGCUAGAGUGCAGGAGAGGAAGGUAGAAUUCCCGGUGUAGCGGUGAAAUGCGUAGAGAUCGGGAGGAAUACCAGUGGCGAAGGCGGCCUUCUGGACUGACACUGACACUGAGGUGCGAAAGCGUGGGUAGCAAACAGGAUUAGAUACCCGAGUAGUC
rnacentral:rRNA from 1 species